UACGUAGGGUGCGAGCGUUGUCCGGAAUUAUUGGGCGUAAAGAGCUCGUAGGCGGUGUGUCACGUCGUUCGUGAAAACCUGGGGCUCAACCCCAGGCUUGCGGUCGAUACGGGCAGGCUCGAGUUCGGUAGGGGAGACUGGAAUUCCUGGUGUAGCGGUGAAAUGCGCAGAUAUCAGGAGGAACACCGGUGCGAAGGCGGGUCUCUGGGCAUUAACUGACGCUGAGGAGCGAAAGCAUGGGAGCGAACAGG
rnacentral:rRNA from 1 species